GAACGCUGGCGGCGUGCCUAAUACAUGCAAGUCGAACGCACAGCGAAAGGUGCUUGCACCUUUCAAGUGAGUGGCGAACGGGUGAGUAACACGUGGACAACCUGCCUCAAGGCUGGGGAUAACAUUUGGAAACAGAUGCUAAUACCGAAUAAAACUUAGUGUCGCAUGACACAAAGUUAAAAGGCGCUUCGGCGUCACCUAGAGAUGGAUCCGCGGUGCAUUAGUUAGUUGGUGGGGUAAAGGCCUACCAAGACAAUGAUGCAUAGCCGAGUUGAGAGACUGAUCGGCCACAUUGGGACUGAGACACGGCCCAAACUCCUACGGGAGGCUGCAGUAGGGAAUCUUCCACAAUGGGCGAAAGCCUGAUGGAGCAACGCCGCGUGUGUGAUGAAGGCUUUCGGGUCGUAAAGCACUGUUGUAUGGGAAGAACAGCUAGAAUAGGAAAUGAUUUUAGUUUGACGGUACCAUACCAGAAAGGGACGGCUAAAUACGUGCCAGCAGCCGCGGUAAUACGUAUGUCCCGAGCGUUAUCCGGAUUUAUUGGGCGUAAAGCGAGCGCAGACGGUUUAUUAAGUCUGAUGUGAAAGCCCGGAGCUCAACUCCGGAAUGGCAUUGGAAACUGGUUAACUUGAGUGCAGUAGAGGUAAGUGGAACUCCAUGUGUAGCGGUGGAAUGCGUAGAUAUAUGGAAGAACACCAGUGGCGAAGGCGGCUUACUGGACUGCAACUGACGUUGAGGCUCGAAAGUGUGGGUAGCAAACAGGAUUAGAUACCCUGGUAGUCCACACCGUAAACGAUGAACACUAGGUGUUAGGAGGUUUCCGCCUCUUAGUGCCGAAGCUAACGCAUUAAGUGUUCCGCCUGGGGAGUACGACCGCAAGGUUGAAACUCAAAGGAAUUGACGGGGACCCGCACAAGCGGUGGAGCAUGUGGUUUAAUUCGAAGCAACGCGAAGAACCUUACCAGGUCUUGACAUCCUUUGAAGCUUUUAGAGAUAGAAGUGUUCUCUUCGGAGACAAAGUGACAGGUGGUGCAUGGUCGUCGUCAGCUCGUGUCGUGAGAUGUUGGGUUAAGUCCCGCAACGAGCGCAACCCUUAUUGUUAGUUGCCAGCAUUCAGAUGGGCACUCUAGCGAGACUGCCGGUGACAAACCGGAGGAAGGCGGGGACGACGUCAGAUCAUCAUGCCCCUUAUGACCUGGGCUACACACGUGCUACAAUGGCGUAUACAACGAGUUGCCAACCCGCGAGGGUGAGCUAAUCUCUUAAAGUACGUCUCAGUUCGGAUUGUAGUCUGCAACUCGACUACAUGAAGUCGGAAUCGCUAGUAAUCGCGGAUCAGCACGCCGCGGUGAAUACGUUCCCGGGUCUUGUACACACCGCCCGUCACACCAUGGGAGUUUGUAAUGCCCAAAGCCGGUGGCCUAACCUUUUAGGAAGGAGCCGUCUAAGGCAGGACAGAUGACUGGGG
rnacentral:rRNA from 1 species